AAUGAACGCUGGCGGCAUGCCUAACACAUGCAAGUCGAACGAAGGCUUCGGCCUUAGUGGCGCACGGGUGCGUAACGCGUGGGAAUCUGCCCUCAGGUUCGGAAUAACAGCGAGAAAUUGCUGCUAAUACCGGAUGAUAUCGCGAGAUCAAAGAUUUAUCGCCUGAGGAUGAGCCCGCGUAGGAUUAGCUAGUUGGUGUGGUAAAGGCGCACCAAGGCGACGAUCCUUAGCUGGUCUGAGAGGAUGAUCAGCCACACUGGGACUGAGACACGGCCCAGACUCCUACGGGAGGCAGCAGUGGGGAAUAUUGGACAAUGGGCGAAAGCCUGAUCCAGCAAUGCCGCGUGAGUGAUGAAGGCCUUAGGGUUGUAAAGCUCUUUUACCUGGGAUGAUAAUGACAGUACCGGGAGAAUAAGCUCCGGCUAACUCCGUGCCAGCAGCCGCGGUAAUACGGAGGGAGCUAGCGUUAUUCGGAAUUACUGGGCGUAAAGCGCACGUAGGCGGCUUUGUAAGUUAGAGGUGAAAGCCUGGAGCUCAACUCCAGAAUUGCCUUUAAGACUGCAUCGCUUGAAUCCAGGAGAGGUGAGUGGAAUUCCGAGUGUAGAGGUGAAAUUCGUAGAUAUUCGGAAGAACACCAGUGGCGAAGGCGGCUCACUGGACUGGUAUUGACGCUGAGGUGCGAAAGCGUGGGGAGCAAACAGG
rnacentral:rRNA from 1 species